UAGGGAAUUUUCGGCAAUGGGGGAAACCCUGACCGAGCAAUGCCGCGUGAACGAUGAAGGUCUUCGGAUUGUAAAGUUCUGUUGUUAGGAAAGAAAGAUAUGCAUAGGAAAUGAUGUAUAUUUGACGGUACCUGAUUAGAAAGCCCCGGCUAACUAUGUGCCAGCAGCCGCGGUAAUACAUAGGGGGCAAGCGUUAUCCGGAAUUAUUGGGCGUAAAGAGUGCGUAGGCGGUUUAUUAAGUCUGGUGUAAAAGUUCACAGCUUAACUGUGAAAGGUCAUUGGAAACUGGUAAACUUGAGUACGGUAGAGGUGAGUGGAAUUCCAAGUGGAGCGGUGGAAUGCGUAGAUAUUUGGAGGAACACCAGUGGCGAAGGCGGCUCACUGGGCCGUUACUGACGCUGAGGCACGAAAGCGUGGGGAGCAAACA
rnacentral:rRNA from 1 species